GUUCUUGUAGUUGAAUAACAACGGUGGUUUUUCACGCCAUAGGUUCUGGUUAGAGUCCAGGCAGGAAUU
rnacentral:tRNA from 1 species